CCCGAGUCGGCUGCCCCUUGAUCCAGCAAUCCGACCCCGAGUCGGCAAUCUCUCGACAACGACAGGCUGUUCCUCUGAAGCACGCCGCGAUCCUCUGCUCCACUACUCCCUGCAACGGUCGUAUCCGGCGCUGCUCCACGAUCUCCUGUAACAGCCGUACAAAGCGGAGCUCCACUACGCCCUGUCAUGGCCGUACCCAGCGCUACCCCACGACGCCCUGUAACGGCCAUGUCAGUGGCAACUCCAUCGUGCCACACGAUGACCAACCCCCCAGAAGGACCCCCCAGCCUGGUAUAUAUGCGGCUGGGGGGAGAAGGGGGGGUAAGCAAGAACUUUCAGUGCAUUCUCUUACUUGCUACAGUUAUCUCUCCUUCUCCUCCAAUCUCCUCUGACUUGAUCGUCGGAG
rnacentral:lncRNA from 1 species